GACGAACGCCGGCGGCGUGCUUAACACAUGCAAGUCGAACGGUGAAAGCGGAGCUUGCUCCGCUGGAUCAGUGGCGAACGGGUGAGUAACACGUGGGCAACCUGCCCCUCACUUCGGGAUAACUCCGGGAAACCGGGGCUAAUACCGGAUAUGACCUCCUUGGGCAUCCUUGGAGGUGGAAAGUUUUUCGGUGAGGGAUGGGCCCGCGGCCUAUCAGCUUGUUGGUGAGGUAGUGGCUCACCAAGGCGACGACGGGUAGCCGGCCUGGGAGGGCGACCGGCCACACUGGGACUGAGACACGGCCCAGACUCCUACGGGAGGCAGCAGUGGGGAAUAUUGCGCAAUGGGCGAAAGCCUGACGCAGCAACGCCGCGUGCGGGAUGACGGCCUUCGGGUUGUAAACCUCUUUUAGCAGGGAAGAAGCGAAAGUGACGGUACCUGCAGAAAAAGCACCGGCUAACUACGUGCCAGCCGCCGCCGUAA
rnacentral:rRNA from 1 species